CCUACGGGAGGCAGCAGUAGGGAAUCUUCCACAAUGGGCGAAAGCCUGAUGGAGCAACGCCGCGUGGGUGAAGAAGGUCUUCGGAUCGUAAAACCCUGUUGUUAGAGAAGCAAGUGCGUGAGAGUAACUGUUCACGUUUCGACGGUAUCUAACCAGAAAGCCACGGCUAACUACGUGCCAGCAGCCGCGGUAAUACGUAGGUGGCAAGCGUUAUCCGGAUUGAUUGGGCGUAAAGGGAACGCAGGCGGUCUUUUAAGUCUGAUGUGAAAGCCUUCGGCUUAACCGGAGUAGUGCAUUGGAAACUGGGAGACUUGAGUGCAGAAGAGGAGAGUGGAACUCCAUGUGUAGCGGUGAAAUGCGUAGAUAUAUGGAAGAACACCAGUGGCGAAAGCGGCUCUCUGGUCUGUAACGGACGCUGAGGUUCGAAAGCGUGGGUAGCAAACAGGAUUAGAUACCCUAGUAGUC
rnacentral:rRNA from 1 species